CCUACGGGAGGCAGCAGUGGGGAAUAUUGGGCAAUGGGCGCAAGCCUGACCCAGCAACGCCGCGUGAAGGAAGAAGGCCCUCGGGUUGUAAACUUCUUUUGUCAGGGACGAAACAACUGACGGUACCUGACGAAUAAGCCACGGCUAACUACGUGCCAGCAGCCGCGGGAAUACGGCGGUGGCAAGCGUUCUCCGGAUUUACUGGGUGUAAAGGGCGGUUAGGCGGGAGAGCAAGUCAGAUGUGAAAUUCCAGGGCUCAACCCUGGAACUGCAUUUGAACCUGUUUGUCUUGAGUUAUGGAGAGGCAGGCGGAAUUCCGGGUGUAGCGGUGAAAUGCGUAGAUAUACGGAGGAACACCAGUGGCGAAGGCGGCCUGCUGGACAUUAACUGACGCUGAGGCGCGAAAGCGUGGGGAGCAAACAGGAUUAGAUACCCCUGUAGUC
rnacentral:rRNA from 1 species